rnacentral:rRNA from 1 species
ACCUGGUUGAUCCUGCCAGUAGUCAUAUACUUAUUUUAAAGAAUAAGCCAUGCAUGUCUAAGUUAUUUGAUUGAUAUACAAUAGACUGCGGAUGGCUCAUUAUAACAGUUAUUAAAAACUUGAAUUAUUAGAUACGUGGAUAACUUUAGAAAUUCUUCAGCUAAUACAUGGUAUGAUAGAUAUUUAUUAUAGAUGAUAUAUAUUUGCUUUUAUUUUAAAUCAAAUUAAGAUGUUAUUACAUUAUGGAAGAUUCAUAUUACUACCUAUAGAUCGCAUUUUAUGAUGUGAUAAUUCAUUCAAGUUUCUGACCUAUCAGUUAAUCAGUAGCGUCUUGGUUUAUUAAGGCAUUUACGGGUAACAGAGAAUUAGGGUUCUGUUCCGGAGAGGGAGUCUGAGAAAUAGCUACCACAUCUAAGGAAGGCAGCAGGCACGUAAAUUACCCAAUUUUGACUAGUAGAGGUAGUGACAAGAAAUCACAAUAUUGUGCCUUAGGGUUAAAUAAUUGUAUUGGGAACAAUAUAUAUAACUUAUCGAUAAACCAGUGGAGGGCAAGUCUGGCGCUAGCAGCCGCGGUAAUUCCAGCUCUAAUAGUAUAUGCUAACAUUGUUGCAAUUAAAAAGCUCGUAGUCGAACAUUUAAAGUAUUCAAUUUUAUGUAGUCUUAAUGAACUAUGAGAAAAAUAAAUAUACUUUAUUUUUAAGGAUUUAACUCUGUUGGCAUUUAUUUUCUGAUACUGUUUUAAAUUAAUAUUUACUUUGAAAAAUUAGAGUGUUUUAUGCAAUCUUAUGAUAUUAUUCUAA